rnacentral:rRNA from 1 species
AUUGAACGCUGGCGGAAUGCUUUACACAUGCAAGUCGAACGGUAGAGGGGGCAACCCCUCGAGAGUGGCGAACGGGUGAGUAAUAUAUCGGAACGUGCCCAGUCGUGGGGGAUAACGUAGCGAAAGUUACGCUAAUACCGCAUGCGAUCUAAGGAUGAAAGCGGGGGAUCGCAAGACCUCGCGCGAUUGGAGCGGCCGAUAUCAGAUUAGGUAGUUGGUGGGGUAAAGGAUCACCAAGCCAACGAUCUGUAGCUGGUCUGAGAGGACGACCAGCCACACUGGAACUGAGACACGGUCCAGACUCCUACGGGAGGCAGCAGUGGGGAAUUUUGGACAAUGGACGCAAGUCUGAUCCAGCCAUUCCGCGUGCAGGAUGAAGGCCCUCGGGUUGUAAACUGCUUUUGUACGGAACGAAAAGGUCUCUCUUAAUACGGGGGACUCAUGACGGUACCGUAAGAAUAAGCACCGGCUAACUACGUGCCAGCCGCCGCCGUAA